CGAAGAUUAUGUGGCUUACAGCUCAGGUCUAAAAGCAGCUUAUGAGGGCUACCAAAAAUGGAGCAAAGAAACACGACAAGAGCCUAAGCUUCCAGGAUUGAACUAUACACCGAAGCAGUUGUUUUGGAUAAAUGCAGCAAAUGUUUGGUGCGAGAGAGAAAAAGAAUUCUAUGGUCAACGUCACUUUUCCGGUGAGACAUAUCCGAAUCGCUAUAAGGUAUUAGCGGCAGUGGUUAGCAUUCCAGCGUUUGCUGAAGACUUUGGGUGUGUGCGCCGAAAAACACAGUGUCAGAUUUGGUAGGGAUGUCCUACAUAUAUUUACGAUCAAGAAUUCAUAUUGCAAUUAUAUAUAUCCCAGGAAUAACUUUAUAAUAUAUUUGAGUUAUUGAUUUAUAGUUGUAACUCAUGAUGCCACCUUGAUUACAUUGGUAUAACAGAUACCAUUUCUAAACCGAUGUGAAUCUGUAAACAAUUUCUUGAAUUUAAAUAAA